rnacentral:piRNA from 1 species
CUGGAUGUAGAUUGUAGUGUGGUUCUCUU